AUGUACUCACUAGCAGUCUCUAUUUUGCCAUCUUCUUGCAAAAACAUGAAGUUUUUGUUAGGGCAUUGUGACGCGGUGUGUCCAACUCUAAGGCACCUAAAACACUUAAUAGAACUUAGUUUUUGAGUGGUAGUAGGUGGUUUAGGGUUACCUUUAGAUCCAAUAGAGUUGGUCUUGUCCUCCCUUUCUUUAAAUUUAUUUAUUUUUCUUUUUAGGCCAUCUAGAAN
rnacentral:lncRNA from 1 species